UACGAAGGGUGCAAGCGUUAAUCGGAAUUACUGGGCGUAAAGCGCGCGUAGGCGGCUUUGUAAGUUAGAGGUGAAAGCCCGGGGCUCAACCCCGGAACUGCCUUUAAGACUGCAUCGCUUGAAUCCAGGAGAGGUGAGUGGAAUUCCGAGUGUAGAGGUGAAAUUCGUAGAUAUUCGGAAGAACACCAGUGGCGAAGGCGGCUCACUGGACUGGUAUUGACGCUGAUGUGCGAAAGCGUGGGGAGCAAACAGG
rnacentral:rRNA from 1 species